AGUGGGUGACACCACGGCAGGAGAUGGAGCCAAUGGGCGUUCGCUAAGAGCCAGAAGCUGGGGAAGGCGGAAGGCCUAGACGUGUGGAGCGCCCGUGGGUGGCGGAUAACUGGGCGAGAGAACGACGGGCUACCAGCCUACUACGAGGGGGGACUGGACGCAGCCGGGCCCCCACCGCGAGGCGGGCGGAAGGAACAGCCCGAACCCGGCAUCUGGCGGCACCUCGGGCCCUGUAGUCGUUAUUACGUCAUCAAAGCGCGCAUUAAAUCGAUCCCUUUUCAAUCCCUCUCCCGGCCGGGGUCGCACCCCGGAGACGCGCGCGCCCCGAAGGGGGAUAGGCGUUCCGCCUGGUACUCACCGUGAGGAACCUCUUGCCCCGUCUCGCCGGCUCUGCCGCUUCCUGCUCCCCCAGCUCGCCGAAAAGCGGGGCGGGCGCCGGCCAAUCGCGACUCGCAUUCCCGGCCUGCACCGCGAACCGGAAGUGACGGAGCGAUGACCUUUAGCACAACAGGACGCUUGGGACCAGCUGGCCCGGGGGGACGCUGGGAGUUGUAGUCUCCGCCAGGAAUGGCGUGGCGCGUUGCAUUCUGGGAGCUGUGGGAUGGGAUGGAGAAGCGGGGCUCCCUGGGGGCCCGUCCGCCCGCCUUGCCAGGCCCGCGCCCUUGUUCGUGCGGGAGAGCUGUGCCGGGGGAAGCGGAGCGGCGGCUAGAUGUGCCCCAGGGGCUGCUAUCUGUUCCCUAGCGAAGGUCCACGUGUCUCAUCACAGGCCACAGUCCCCGUUCUAGUCCCACUCGACCAGCCCUCCGGCCUGCUGCCGUCUCGGCCCCAUCGCUGCCCGUUUGCGUGAGCGGAGCCGAAAACCUUCCCCAUGAUAAGCAUCAUGUGACCUUCCCCCAACUGCCAUCAGCAAAAAUCCGGAGAAAGCUGUAUUCAUUUGUAUGAUGCAUUAACACUCCUGGGCAGCUGGACUCAACUGGAUCUUGGAAAUAUAUCAAUCCUCAGUAAGGAAAGAUUUUGCCUCCAGGUGCAAGAUGAUUCCGAGACUACUGAAGAAAGUAUAUGGACUGAGUGUGAUCAGCCUCUCCAAUUAAGUGGUAGAUAGCACAUGAAAAAAAUCAGUGGAGAGAGAUAUCUAUGAACAUUUAAAGCAACCUAAAUAUUCUACUUGUAUGAUAUAUGUAACAGGGAGAAAAAGUGUAACCAUGGUUCCCCUUACUUAUUUUGACGUAGCUUGCCAAAAAUUCUCUGAUCUAAGGAAAUGUGAAGAAUUAAUUAGCUGAAUUAGUGAAUUAGAAGCCCCAUUCAAUUUAUGGUCUAGAAUUUCAUGGCUACCACUUCCCAGAAGCAGUGAUUAGUAGAUUUUAAAGUCAGACUGGAGCAUUAGAUUAGCUAGUCUGACUUUCUGUAUAACACAGGCCAUAGAAUUUCACUCAGUUAUUCCUGUAGUGAGCUCAGGAACUUGUGAUAAAUCUUUUUGUUAUCUGAAAGCUCAAGAUGUGUCUCAGGCAUAUCUUGGAAUAAUUGUUUUGUGGCUGACAUGGCUUUAUUUUCAUCCCUAGUGCAAACCAGACAUAUGCUGUUAAGCAAGAGGAAAUACUUUUUUGUAAAACCCCUCAAUAACAGUUUAUAGUGAAGAGAUUCCAGGUUUCAGAUUGCAGUUUAAAUUGUUUACAGAAGGAAAUAAGAGACUUGUGUGAGCUAUGCCUCAUACAGUGUUAGUGAUGGGAGAGAGAGGAGGUCAAUCUCAGUUCACUUUCCCCUCCACCAUCUGUGCUUUCUAUUUCAGUGGAGGAGGAGAGGAGUGUAGAAUUAGUGAUAGUCAAAAUUAUGGUUACAAAAGGAAAUGUUCAGAAAAUGUUCAUUAACUUAUUUACUGAAUUGUUAAAGAAAGUUGACUAUCAUCAACCGCUACAUCUAUAAGGAAAAGGAGUCAUCAUGUUCUUUUGUUAUCUUUAGAUUUCUCAAAGGAAAUGCGUGGUUAGCACAAGAUAUGCAUUUACAUUUACGCAGUUCUUUCUGCUGUUUUUCAAACUCGGGGCGAGAUCCUGAUUUCCCAUAUACAAGUUUUACACUGGUUAACUCCACUGACAUCAGUGCAGUUACUCCCAAUUUAUACUGGUGUAAGUGAGGUCAACAUUGAGUCUUAUUAUUGUUAUUUCCUUUGGUGAGCAGUUGUGCUCACAAAACAGGGGAGGAGGAGGAGGAUGCAAUGCUAGCAUUUUUCUCCGAAGGGUGGUAUUUUCUUUUAAACAAUCCUUUUUUCUGUCCUGUCAGUCCAGAAAAAGAUAAAAAGGCUCAGAACAUGUAAAUACUGUACAACCAUGAGACCAUUAAAAAAGGAACAAUGCAAUGUUUUAGUGUUUGAAAAGUGCUGUCUGCAGCCUGAUGAGUUGAAGCCAUUGUAAGUGCUAAACAUUUCGAU